rnacentral:sRNA from 1 species
GCUGGGUGUAGUUGUGCACAACUGUAAUCCCAGCAGCUCAGGAGGCUGAGGAAGGAGGAUCACAAGUGCAAUGCCAGAUUCAGCAAUUUAGUGAGGCCCUAAGCAACUUGGUGAGACCCUGUCUCUA